UGGGGAAUAUUGGACAAUGGGCGCAAGCCUGAUCCAGCCAUGCCGCGUGUGUGAAGAAGGCCUUCGGGUUGUAAAGCACUUUUGUACGGGAAGAAAAGCACUCGGUUAAUACCCGGGUGUCAUGACGGUACCGUAAGAAUAAGCACCGGCUAACUUCGUGCCAGCAGCCGCGGUAAUACGAAGGGUGCAAGCGUUACUCGGAAUUACUGGGCGUAAAGCGUGCGUAGGUGGUUUGUUAAGUCUGAUGUGAAAGCCCUGGGCUCAACCUGGGAAUUGCAUUGGAUACUGGCAGUCUAGAGUGCGGUAGAGGGUAGCGGAAUUCCCGGUGUAGCAGUGAAAUGCGUAGAUAUCGGGAGGAACAUCCGUGGCGAAGGGCGGCGUACCUGGACCAGCACUGACACUGAGGCACGAAAGCGUGGGGAGCGAAACAGGAUUAGAUACCCUGGUAGUCACGCCCUAAACGAUGCGAACUGGAUGUUGGGGGCGAAUUGAGCCUUCAG
rnacentral:rRNA from 1 species